AUAAGAAUUUAAGACACUUAAGAGUUUGAUAGAUACCCAUUAGUUUGUUAGUUACAUUAGUUAGUUAGUUAGGAAGGUUAGUUGGUUGAAGAAAAGAGGCAUGUUUGCAUCAAUUUCAAUAUUUCCCCAUUGGAGUUCAGCAAUUAAUCUCAAUUUUCUCAUCACCAUUUAGAUAGAUCUCUACUUAUUCGUUUCUGAUUCCCAGUUGUGUAUGUAAUAGGCAACAAUGCUAGUUACUGACUGAAAUAUGUGAUUGUAUGCAUCAGAAUUACAACAGCAGCCCAAGUACUUUAAAAUGACAAUCUUUCAUCACACAUUAGGUUCCAGCAUCAUCAGUUUGUCGCAACUACAAAAUUCUUUGAUAUAUAAUUCUCUGAAUUGUCUUUGUAUACAAAAAACAUUGUUCUGUUGCACCAUCACAUAGCUUUCUAAUCAAUGUUUAAUUCAGGAAAGUCAUUUUGCUACAUAUCUAGUUAAAUUUCCUAAUAGACCAGUACUGAAUCCACUAUUGUAAAAUGUGUUCCCAUGUACUAGGAUUUUAGUAUAUUAUUGUAAAAUAGAACAGAGAAUAUUUCAUUAAGACUUUGAAUGAUUGUGAUAUGGGAUACAAAUAACAAAACUGGCUGACUGAACUUAUACCCUAUUCUAAAUAGAUCUUAUGUUCAGCACAACUAGUAUAUUCCCUGACCAUAACAAACACUCGGAAUACAAUAAAACUAAUAUAUAGAUCUUAACUUAUGCUGCAAGCAUCAUAUAAUUAGCAGCAAAAGUUAAGCCCUCAGUCACCUUUUCUCUGAAUGGAGAAAUUUAUUAGAAGAAAAAAAUGGGUGGCUGUUUCUAAAAUAGAGCAACAAAUCACAAAAAAUAAAUGACGAGAGAAAGCACUAUUCCAUUUUCAAUGAAAAAAUGAAAUGGAUUCCAUUAUAAGGAACCUCUAUGUGUUUGAUUUUCUGAAAUAAUUGUAAGAUCGUAGUUUGCUAAUUAAUAUCUAACAUAAAGUGGGAAGAUAAACUACAAAAGCAUACAGUUCUUUUAUCACCGAAUACACAAAACAAUUUUAUGAUUAUCAACAAAUCACCAUUUGAAAGUGCCGCAGCCAAAUUACAGAGUAGUAAAUUUGACCAUCAGUUGUUGAUACAUGAGAAAUACAUCUCCAUCUAGUAUUUACUUUCAAGGUAUCAGUUAUGGCCAGCUCUUUGGAGAAUCUACAGUACUCAUUCUGCAGAACAUAUAUUGGAUUUUAUUAUACAAAAAUUUGAUUGAAUGUGUGACAAUGAUUACCAGAUUUUCAUGAGUGAUUCUGUUAAUAAAUUGCCUAACUCAGUGUUGCAUGCUGAUUUUCCUUUUCUUGUUUUCAACUUUGGUUCAUUUGCAUUAUACUGCUUUAGGCUAUUCAUAAAAGGUUGUUUAGACAAGUAUUUCUGUGAAGUGAUUUUAUGAAUACUCUUUCUAUUACUCACUCUUUGUUGGCUUAUUAGACUUCGUUCUGUCAUCCAAAAUCAGGGAAUGAGUCACGGGGUUGUUUAACAAAGGUUUUGAUGAAUUCAAAGGUUGAUGCACCAGAUCAUUAUACCUGGAUGCACUUACAUCAGACUUGGUUGGAUGGCUUAGGAGGACAGGAUGAUAUGCCUUGGUUGUUAUAGUAUCUAGUCACUUCUGUUAAAAAGCAUUCUUAAGCUGUCAAAUUAUUCAACUAAGGCAUGAGGCACUGAAAGAUAGAUGGUUGACAAAGAUUUUUCAUUUUAUGACAGUUUUCACCUUUUGAAGAGAAAAACUUGGUUUUCUAUUAUACUGACAUCCUUGGCCUGUGUUAUUAAGUAGAGGGAGCUGCUAUUUGAUUAGAGACUGAUCCAACAGCAAUCAAGAAAGUUGAAAAUAAAAGGGUCCAAAUUGUAGGUUACAAGAACUCUAGCAAGGUGACUUGUGAGUUGUGAUCUUGCAAUCUUUGUUAUUUGUUGACAGUUUUCUUCCUGGUGGUAACUGGUAAUACAGUUUUUAUUUGGAAAUACGCAAGAUGUGUCGAAUGGUGAAUUUAAAUAAUGAUAGUAGAUUUUUUAUUUUUUUU